rnacentral:piRNA from 1 species
AACAGGACCAUGUAACUUGACUUGAAGUUC